rnacentral:snoRNA from 1 species
AGUUGUGCUGCUGCUGCUGUGCUGCUGCUGCUGUGUUGCUGCUGCAGCAGCAGCAGCAACACAGGAUGGUGUGUAUCUCUCAUCUCUCCUUUCCGUAGAAGGAGACAGGAUCGAAGGCAGUGCUU